GCAGCUUUUGUGCUCCUGAGAUGCUGCUUGGCCUGCUGUGUUCAUCCAGCGCCACACUUUAUUAUCUUAGAUCAGAGGCUAGGAUUUCUCUGCUGGUGUUUUUUCGAAUGAACGCCUUCCACUUGCCUGCCUCUUGAGACUUUGUCCUUGGCCGGGCAGGGGCAUGCUCCUACAGAUUGGUGCUGCGAGCAGGGUGCCCUGCCUGAAGCUGGCACAACUUGGGCCACAAUCUGGGUGUCACUAGAUGGGCCAAUGUUUAUUGCCUAUCCCUAAUUACCCAGAGGGCAAUUAAGAGUCAACCACAAUGCUGUGGGUCUGGAGUCACGUGUAAGCUGGACCAGAAAAACACAAUGCUCGGUUUGGAAUAAUUGCUGGUGACCCAUUAAGAAUCGACUGGUUUCACAGCUUACCUUCUUUGGUGGCCACAAUUGCUCCCAGCAUUCACAGGAAAUAACAUCACCAACCCAAGGAAACCCAACCAGAUAAAUAGAAAGCGGGACAUUACACCAGCGCUUCAUCGGAGGCUCACUGAUGAUGUUACCUAGUAUGGUGACGAAACGUCUGAAAACGAACCUUCCAGCUCAGCGAGCAAACUCACAUCCUGAUUUUACUCUGUUUUGAGGAGACUGAAAGUCUGGCAAAAUGAUGUAGCAUUGAGAAGUUUCCUUUACGUCAUGGAGUUGACCAGUUGGUUGGUUCAGAAUUGGAGUCACGUGUUUGGCCAGAUCAGACUCCUUCCACUGGCACAGGGGGUUCUCCUAUAACGCGUAUUCUAGCAACAUGAAAUGGCUAUAAAGCGAUUGACAAAUAGGGGAAUGCUAUUUGUAAAACGUGAACUUGCGUUGGCUCUAACACAGUUCCAUUAAGUAUGGAUUGAAUGUCACAAGCCUCAAAUACAAUAUCACACAGAAAACAGCUGUCUUACUAGGAAAAUAUGUGAAGUCUCAGUUUGAAGAGUUUAUGCUGAAUGCAUUAAAUGAAUCAACAUUGUUUAAAAUGCAGUUCAUUUAAACAGAAGAACGAACUUCAAUGCUAAAUUGAUGGAAUGAGUAAAAAAUUAAAUAUAGUUUAAAAUAAUGAGUGCUGUUAAAACAUGCACCUUUGUGUGCAGUAUUUUUGCCUUGA